UACAGAGGCCUCGAGCGUUAGGCGGAAUCACUGGGCUUAAAGCGUGUGUAGGCGGAUGCCUAAGUACCUUGUGAAAUCCCACGGCUCACCCGUGGAACGGCUCGGUAUACUGGGCGUCUUGAGCCACCUAGGGGCUACCGGAACAAAUGGUGGAGCGGUGAAAUGCGUAGAUAUCAUUUGGAACGCCAACGGAGAAAUCAGGUAGCUGGGGGUGUGCUGACGCUGAGACACGAAAGCCAGGGGAGCGAACGGG
rnacentral:rRNA from 1 species